GAGGGGCGGGGCCGGCAGCGGGAGCCGCCCCCCGGAGCCGAUCUUAUCCCGCUCCGCCCCUCCGGGAGCAGCGGGAAUAUCAGGAACACCGGGAUGUGGCAGGAGGGCGAGCGGAGAGCCCCGCGCCGCCUGCAGCGGAGGAAGGAGCGCUGCAAACGGUGCCAGCUCCGCUCCGGUGCCAGGUGAGACCGACCCCAACCUUCGGCACCGCUCCCCGCCACCGGAACACCGGGAAGGGCCGGGACAGACCGCGGGAUGCCACGUGGAGCGGGGCCGGGCGGGGGGAACCGGGAUCCGGCACCGGGAGUGGCCCCGGGAUUGGGGAACCGGGGGUGGGGAGCCGGGACCAGGCACCGGGAGUGGCCCCGGGAUUGGGGAACCGGGAUCCGGCACCGGGAGUGGCCCCGGAUUUGGGGGACCGGGGGCGGGGAACCGGGACCGGGCACCGGGAGUGGCCCCGGGAUUGGGGGACCGGGGGCGGGGAACCGGGACCGGGCACCGGGAUGGCCCCGGGAUUGGGGGACCGGGGGCGGGGAACCGGGACCGGGCACCGGGAGUGGCCCCGGGAUUGGGGGACCGGGAUCCGGCACCGGGACCGGGCACCGGAAUGGCCCCGGGAUUGGGGGACGGAGCUGGGCCGGGAUUGGGGGACCGGGCACCGGAACGGCCCCGGGGUGCGGUGAUCGAGCUGGGCCGGGCGUGGCGGAGCGGGACCCGGCACGGGAGUAGGAGGACCGGGGGUGGGGGAGCGGGACCCGGCACCGGGAUUGGGGUACCGGGCACCGGAAUGGCCCCGGGAUUGGGGGACGGGGCUGGGCGGGGCGGGGGGGAGCGGGAUCCGGUCCCGGGACCGGGCACCGGAGGGGCCCCGGGAUGGGGGAUAGGGGGUAGGAGACCCGGACCGGUCCGGACACUCGGGGCUGCCCCGGGUUGGGGGGACACCGGUCCAGGCCCGAAUUUGGGGAACCGGGGCUGUGCCGGGGGAGAAAAGUGGGGGGAUCCGGACACCGGAGCAGCCGCGGAGGUGGGGACCGGGAUCUGGGGAUCCAGGGGCUGGUCUGAGUUUGGGGGACCGAAACCGGGACCUGGGGACCCAGAACCGGGAAUCGGGACUGGUCUGAGUUUGGGGCACCGGGACCUGGGGAUCCAAACCCGGGAACCGGAGCUGCCCCGAGUUUGGGGGACCGAAACCGGGGUAUAGAGACCCAGAACCAGGCACCGGGGCUGUCCUUAGUUUGGGGCACCGGGACCUGGGGAUCCAAAACCGGGAACCGGGGCUGCCCCGAAUUUGGGGGACCUGGGCACCCAGAACCGGGCACCGGGGCCGGUCUGAGUUUGGGGGACCGGGACCUGGGCACCCAGAACCGGGCACCGGGCUUACCCCGAGUUUGGGGGACCUGGGGACCCAGAACCGGCAACCGGAGCAGCCCCGAAUUUGGGGAACCGAGAUCUGGGCACCCAGAACCGGGUACCGGGGCCGGUUUGAGUUUGGGGAACCGGGCUCGGGGCACCCAGAACCGGGCACCGGGGAUGCCCCGAAUUUGGGGGACCGGGACGUGGGGACCCAGAACCGGGCACCGGAGCUGUCCCGAGUUUGUGGGACCUGGCUCUGGGGAUCCAAAACCGGGAACCGGGGCACCAAACCCCGAGUUUGGGGUACCGGGACCUGGGGACCCAGAACCGGGAACUGGAGCAGCUCCAAGUUUGGGGGACCGGGACCUGGGCACCCAGAACCGGGCACCGGGGCUGUCCCGAGUUUGGGGAACCGGGCUCGGGGCACCCAGAACCGGGCACCGGGGAUGCCCCGAAUUUGGGGGACCGGGACGUGGGGACCCAGAACCGGGCACCGGAGCUGUCCCGAGUUUGUGGGACCUGGCUCUGGGGAUCCAAAACCGGGAACCGGGGCACCAAACCCCGAGUUUGGGGUACCGGGACCUGGGGACCCAGAACCGGG
ensembl:lncRNA